AGGGGACCAGAUCGGACCAAGAAUUGCUUAAUAGUACAUGACAUGAGUCCAUAGCAUAUCAUAAAAUUGACCAAAAAGUCAAUAAUUCACAUUUAAACAAGUGUACCACGACCAGAUUAUAUAACAUGACAUAAAUCAAUAAAAAGUUACUGCAUUAAAAAAAAACCAUCUCACCCCAAAAAAGAAAAUGAUUGAAAUAAUGCAGAAAAGCGCCCAGCCGCCACACAAUUACUAUAAGCUUGCUGAGCCUCCCACAGAGCCAUCUGCCUGCUGAAGCUGAGCCGCUUCCAAGAGGCCAAGCAGGACUGUGACUCUGCUCUGCGCUUGCAGCCCUCCAACAAGAAAGCCUUCUACAGACGAGCGCUGGCCCACAAGGGUCUGCAGGUACCCGCCUGUGAUUGCAGUACAGUACUUAAAAUGGAUAGGAUGCAUCCAAGCCAUACAUGUCGAAUGAUUACUGAACUGCCAGCGGUGACCUGCAGGAGGUCCUCCAACUGGACCCCAACGUCAAGGAGGCGGAGCAGGAGCUUCUGGAGGUCACCGCCUUGCUGAGACAAAGCCUCAUGGAGGACACAGCGCACACGCAGAGCGGUAUGACUCAAGACGUGAUCUCUGCUCGGGGGCUCAUUUUUCCACUGCCACUGAAUUGCCCAUUGAUGCCACGAGAUGGCGACAAAGCACACCACUUUGUUUCAACUUAGUGUUAUUUUCUAUUGCCUUGUUUUGUUUAAUUUGGAUGUUUUUGUGAUAACCAUCGAACAGGAAAUUAUCUUAGACGUCACAUCACCCCCUCACCCCCCAAGUAUGAUGAUGAGGUGCAGUUGUUUGCUCCAUGCAGACUGUCAAGUGUGAAAACCUCCAGGGCUGUCGUGACUAGCAAAUUCAGAAGGGGAACGGAGCGUUGUCAGCACAAGAUGUCUGUUGCGGUGCAGUCACGAGUGUCGGCGGUGGCGGCGUCUUCGGCAAUAUACAGAACCUCGCUAAGCGAAGACGUGGGGCGGUGGCUGAAGGCGGCGUGGCUCCGCUGAGGCGGCAGCUGCUCCAGGCGGUCGUGC